rnacentral:rRNA from 1 species
GAUGAACGCUGGCGGCGCGCCUAAUACAUGCAAGUCGAGCGAACGGACGAGAAGCUUGCUUCUCUGAUGUUAGCGGCGGACGGGUGAGUAACACGUGGAUAACCUACCUAUAAGACUGGGAUAACUUCGGGAAACCGGAGCUAAUGCCGGAUAAUAUUUUGAACCGCAUGGUUCAAAAGUGAAAGACGGUCUUGCUGUCACUUAUAGCUGGAUCCGCGCUGCAUUAGCUAGUUGGUAAGGUAACGGCUUACCAAGGCAACGUUGCAUAGCCGACCUGAGAGGGUAAUCGGCCACACUGGAACUGAGACACGGUCCAGACUCCUACGGGAGGCAGCAGUAGGGAAUCUUCCGCAAUGGGCGAAAGCCUGACGGAGCAACGCCGCGUGAGUGAUGAAGGUCUUCGGAUCGUAAAACUCUGUUAUUAGGGAAGAACAUAUGUGUAAGUAACUGUGCACAUCUUGACGGUACCUAAUCAGAAAGCCACGGCUAACUACGUG